UACGUAGGGUGCGAGCGUUAAUCGGAAUUACUGGGCGUAAAGCGUGCGCAGGCGGCUUCGCAAGUCAGACGUGAAAUCCCCGGGCUUAACCUGGGAAUGGCGUUUGAAACUACGGAGCUGGAGUAUGGCAGAGGGGGGUAGAAUUCCACGUGUAGCAGUGAAAUGCGUAGAUAUGUGGAGGAACACCGAUGGCGAAGGCAGCCCCCUGGGAUAACACUGACGCUCAUGCACGAAAGCGUGGGGAGCAAACAGG
rnacentral:rRNA from 1 species